rnacentral:tRNA from 1 species
GGCAGUAUGGCUGAUUAAAAGCGGUAAUCUGUAAAAUUAUAAAUAGGAUUUUCCUUGCUGCCA